UACGGAGGGUGCAAACGUUGCUCGGAAUCAUUGGGCGUAAAGCGCACGUAGGCGGACCAUCAAGUCGGUUGUGAAAUCCCUCGGCUUAACCGAGGACGUGCAUUCGAAACUGAUGGCCUUGAGUACGAAAGAGGAUCGCGGAAUUCCCGGUGUAGAGGUGAAAUUCGUAGAUAUCGGGAGGAACACCAGUGGCGAAGGCGGCGAUCUGGGUCGAUACUGACGCUGAGGUGCGAAAGCGUGGGGAGCAAACAGG
rnacentral:rRNA from 1 species